UCGGAAUUAGUCAAACAUUGUUUUCAGUGUUUCCAGAGUUGGCUUUUUGCAUACCUGUCUUAGACCGAGUACAUUUAAAAUUUAUAAUUCGAGACAAUGUAUAGUUUUCUUUACAUACUAUUACUGCACAUCCUAUAACUGCCCAAAAUGAAAUACUUAGGGUAAAAACCAUCAUUAUGUUAAAUCAAAGCGGAUGACGUAAAAUUUCCGCGUCCCUUUAUUUUUUAUUGACGGGAAAAAUAAAACUCAACGGAAAUGCAUUGUCAACGCCAUUAACAAGGCAAAUGGAUAUAUAGUCAAUGCAAUUUGACUGCACAAAUAGCAAAGUUGCAGUAAAUAGGGACAUAUAUUCAGUCUUCAAAAUACAUUAGAAUAACACCCUUUUUACUCGGGUGCGGAACUGUUAAAAAAUGAAGUAGGCGUUAAACAUGUCGAAAUGAUCCUCCCCUUGUGUAAAAAAGGCACCUGAAGUCGGAACCCCUCUCCCUUUUAAUGUUUGAACACAGACACCCGACGUCUUUCUGCGAUUUUGCUGGUAUCUCCUAGUAGUUUUAAAAAUAAAUACCUUUACCGGUGAUAAAUUUUGACAUCGGAUUAAUUUUCACAGGAAUGAUAUCUAUAACUAUUUAGUAUCUAAGUUAUUUACAAUUGUGGUCCAAAUAUUGGAUGACGCCAUAUCUAACAAGUUCUUAACAGUAUUUAAUUUUCAUUCCAUUGAUAUCUUAUACGCUAUCUAUAGAGUGCCUAUAUGCCAUUUUGGUUUUCAUUGUUGUGUAAUAAUUGCGUGUUCUAUAGUGUUAAGAUUCAUUACAGUUUUUGAGCUUUCGAUUUUAUCAUUCUAUAAAGGACUUUUUGUUUUGAAUUUUCCUAGGAGUUCGGUACUUUUGUUAUUUUACCUUAUUUUACCUUAUAAUAAUAUUGUUAGUUUUAAAUUCAAUUGUUUAUAAAAUUAUUAGAAAUUGCACAUAAUUCUGAAUAUGUGGUAUGGUCAUUAUGGUUUUUUUCAAAUGUGAAUCAUACUAUGAUUUUCCUCCUUAGAAUUACUGUAAAGAACGAAUUAAAGAACAAAAGAUUAAGAAACAAUAUCGAUAAAACUCAAAGUUUUCUU
rnacentral:lncRNA from 1 species